CGGGGGGCAAGGUCGAACGCUGAAGCCCGAGCUUGCUCGGGUGGAUGAGUGGCGAACGGGUGAGUAACACGUGAGUAACCUGCCUAUCACUCUGGGAUAAGCGCUGGAAACGGCGUCUAAUACUGGAUAUGUCCUGUCACCGCAUGGUGUGCAGGUGGAAAGAUUUAUCGGUGGUAGAUGGACUCGCGGCCUAUCAGCUUGAUGGUGAGGUAAUGGCUCACCAUGGCGACGACGGGUAGCCGGCCUGACAGGGUGACCGGCCACACUGGGACUGAGACACGGCCCAGACUCCUACGGGAGGCAGCAGUGGGGAAUAUUGCACAAUGGGCGCAAGCCUGAUGCAGCAACGCCGCGUGAAGGAAUGACGGCCUUCGGGUUGUAA
rnacentral:rRNA from 1 species